rnacentral:lncRNA from 1 species
GAGAAGCAGAGGUACCGGCCACUGAAUUAUCCAAAAAAAGGGAAGUUUUGAGUCAAGGAGAAAAUAAAACUAAUUACUGCCAAACAAGAUAGUAAAAUUAAACAAUCCCUCCCCUCCAUCUCUCUUUCACCUGCUAUAGCUGCUUCGAAGCUCAUUAAUUUCAUAUAUUAUUGAUUUCUAAGCACAUAAAUUGAAAUUCACAUUUUUUGCUUUCUAAACACUUAAAUUUAUAGUCAAAGCAACUUUUUGGGUCAUUCUACUUUUGGAGCUAACACAUUUCUCAUGUAUACAAGUAGAUAUCAAUCGCAAAUUUAUUAUAAAUCUCCAUAUAUCAGCAAUUCAAGAAAAGAAGUAUUAAAUAUUCAAGGAUUUACUUAAGUAUGAACAUUUAAAGAAUUCGCCUUAACAAAACAUGUGAAUCCAAGUAUGCACGAAUAGCCACUUUAAUUAACAAUAGUUAAUCCAAGCUAAUUGUAAACAUUGAAGCAUCAAAAUUUUGAGGUUAUCUCAUAUCGAUCGUGGAAGAGGUUGAUGGUCAAUUAUUAAGUGUAAAGGAAAGUCUCACCUCUUGAACGAGCUUUUGAGAUUGAGAAGACUCAAGACCACCCAACAGAUGGUAUCAGAACUAUUGGUUGUGAUUUGUUCGAAGUUUUGAUUACUGAUGGUAGCCAUGAAGUAUGAAAUUUCGUUCUUGAAUCGCAAUACAAGAUUCUCGUUGUAGAAAGUGAAGACGGAACUAUUGGUUGUGAUUUGGUUGAGGUUUUGAUUAUUGAUGGUAGCCAUGAAGUAUGAAAUUUCGUUCUUGAAUCGCAAUACAAGAUUCUUGUUGUGGAAAGUGAAGAUGGAACUAUUGGUUGUGAUUUGGUUGAGGUUUUGAUUAUUGAUGAUAGUCAUAAAGUAUGAAAUUUCGUCUUGAAUCACAAUAAAAGAUUAUUGUUGUAGCAAGUGAAGCUGCGAGUUGUGCUAAAGCAGAUGGAUUUGAAUGAUGCAUUGUUGGGAUUUAACAAAGUGUUCACAAUUUGGACGACGGAGGAGAAACGACGGAAGGAUUGAAAGGCAAUUUCACAAACCUAUCUUCAUUUCUCUAACAAUAUUCUUU